rnacentral:rRNA from 1 species
UACGGGGGGGGGGCAAGCGUUGUUCGGAAUUACUGGGCGUAAAGAGCGUGUAGGCGGCCAGGUAGGUCCGGUGUGAAAACUCGAGGCUUAACCUCGAGAUGUCAUCGGAAACCAUUUGGCUAGAGUCCGGAAGAGGAAAGUGGAAUUCCUGGUGUAGCGGUGAAAUGCGCAGAUAUCAGGAAGAACACCAAUGGCGAAAGCAGCUUUCUGGGACGGUACUGACGCUGAGACGCGAAAAGCGUGGGGAGCGAACAGG